UUUCCGUAGGUGAACCUGCGGAAUGAUCAUUCAUAAUAAGUGUUUUAUGGCACUUUUUUAAAUCCAUAUCCACCUUGUGUGCAAUGUCAGGGUUGAUUUUUCUCUCGAGAGGAUCAACCCCAAACAUCAACUAUAUCUCAACUCUUUGUCUGAAAAAUAUUAUGAAUAAAACAAUUCAAAAUACAACUUUCAACAACGGAUCUCUUGGCUCUC
rnacentral:misc_RNA from 1 species